UUAAGCGACUAAGCGUACACGGUGGAUGCCCUGGCAGUCAGAGGCGAUGAAGGACGUGCUAAUCUGCGAAAAGCGUCGGUAAGGUGAUAUGAACCGUUACAACCGGCGAUGUCCGAAUGGGGAAACCCAGUGCAAUUCGUUGCACUAUCGUUAACUGAAUACAUAGGUUAACGAGGCGAACCGGGGGAACUGAAACAUCUAAGUACCCCGAGGAAAAGAAAUCAACCGAGAUUCCCCCAGUAGCGGCGAGCGAACGGGGAGCAGCCCAGAGUCUGAAUCAGCUUGUGUGUUAGUGGAACGGUCUGGAAAGUCCGACGGUACAGGGUGAUAGUCCCGUACACCAAAAUGCACAGGUUGUGAACUCGAAGAGUAGGGCGGGACACGUGGUAUCCUGUCUGAAUAUGGGGGGACCAUCCUCCAAGGCUAAAUACUCCUGACUGACCGAUAGUGAACCAGUACCGUGAGGGAAAGGCGAAAAGAACCCCGGCGAGGGGAGUGAAAAAGAACCUGAAACCGUGUACGUACAAGCAGUGGGAGCACCUUCGGGUGUGACUGCGUACCUUUUGUAUAAUGGGUCAGCGACUUAUAUUCUGUAGCAAGGUUAACCGUAUAGGGGAGCCGCAGGGAAACCGAGUCUUAACUGGGCGUUAAGUUGCAGGGUAUAGACCCGAAACCCGGUGAUCUAGCCAUGGGCAGGUUGAAGGUUGGGUAACACUAACUGGAGGACCGAACCGACUAAUGUUGAAAAAUUAGCGGAUGACUUGUGGCUGGGGGUGAAAGGCCAAUCAAACCGGGAGAUAGCUGGUUCUCCCCGAAAGCUAUUUAGGUAGCGCCUCGUGAAUUCAUCUUCGGGGGUAGAGCACUGUUUCGGCUAGGGGGUCAUCCCGACUUACCAACCCGAUGCAAACUACGAAUACCGAAGAAUGUUAUCACGGGAGACACACGGCGGGUGCUAACGUCCGUCGUGAAGAGGGAAACAACCCAGACCGCCAGCUAAGGUCCCAAAGUCAUGGUUAAGUGGGAAACGAUGUGGGAAGGCACAGACAGCCAGGAUGUUGGCUUAGAAGCAGCCAUCAUUUAAAGAAAGCGUAAUAGCUCACUGGUCGAGUCGGCCUGCGCGGAAGAUGUAACGGGGCUAAACCAUGCACCGAAGCUGCGGCAGCGACACUAUGUGUUGUUGGGUAGGGGAGCGUUCUGUAAGCCUGCGAAGGUGACCUGUGAGGGUUGCUGGAGGUAUCAGAAGUGCGAAUGCUGACAUAAGUAACGAUAAAGCGGGUGAAAAGCCCGCUCGCCGGAAGACCAAGGGUUCCUGUCCAACGUUAAUCGGGGCAGGGUGAGUCGACCCCUAAGGCGAGGCCGAAAGGCGUAGUCGAUGGGAAACAGGUUAAUAUUCCUGUACUUGGUGUUACUGCGAAGGGGGGACGGAGAAGGCUAUGUUAGCCGGGCGACGGUUGUCCCGGUUUAAGCAUGUAGGCUGAUUGUCCAGGCAAAUCCGGAUAAUCAAGGCUGAGGUGUGAUGACGAGGCACUACGGUGCUGAAGUAACAAAUGCCCUGCUUCCAGGAAAAGCCUCUAAGCAUCAGGUAACAUCAAAUCGUACCCCAAACCGACACAGGUGGUCAGGUAGAGAAUACCAAGGCGCUUGAGAGAACUCGGGUGAAGGAACUAGGCAAAAUGGUGCCGUAACUUCGGGAGAAGGCACGCUGGUGUGUAGGUGAAGUCCCUGCGGAUGGAGCUGAGACCAGUCGAAGAUACCAGCUGGCUGCAACUGUUUAUUAAAAACACAGCACUGUGCAAACACGAAAGUGGACGUAUACGGUGUGACGCCUGCCCGGUGCCGGAAGGUUAAUUGAUGGGGUUAUCCGUAAGGAGAAGCUCUUGAUCGAAGCCCCGGUAAACGGCGGCCGUAACUAUAACGGUCCUAAGGUAGCGAAAUUCCUUGUCGGGUAAGUUCCGACCUGCACGAAUGGCGUAAUGAUGGCCAGGCUGUCUCCACCCGAGACUCAGUGAAAUUGAACUCGCUGUGAAGAUGCAGUGUACCCGCGGCAAGACGGAAAGACCCCGUGAACCUUUACUAUAGCUUGACACUGAACAUUGAGCCUUGAUGUGUAGGAUAGGUGGGAGGCUUUGAAGCGUGGACGCCAGUCUGCGUGGAGCCAACCUUGAAAUACCACCCUUUAAUGUUUGAUGUUCUAACGUUGGCCCCU
rnacentral:rRNA from 1 species